rnacentral:rRNA from 1 species
UACGGAGGUCCCGAGCGUUGUUCGGAUUCACUGGGCGUAAAGGGUGCGUAGGCGGUGAGGUAAGUCGGAUGUGAAAUCUCCAGGCUCAACCUGGAAACUGCAUUGGAAACGACCUUGCUGGAGGAUUUGAGGGGGGAUUGGAAUACUUGGUGUAGCAGUGAAAUGCGUAGAUAUCAAGUGGAACACCAGUGGCGAAGGCGAAUCCCUGGACAACACCUGACACUGAGGCACGAAAGCUAGGGGAGCAAACAGG